rnacentral:rRNA from 1 species
AGUUUAAAAAUUAAGGUAUCAAUUAUUAAACCAAUAUAAAAUGGCGGUCAUUUUAAAUUAGAGAAACUCGCUUCAUAAUCGUAAACACCCGAUAAAUUUCACUUAUAUUAAAAGUUUAUAUACCGCCGUUAAGAAUUAUAUAAAUCAAUAACACCAACCCUAAAAAUAUAAUAAAAGUCAGGUCAAGGUGUAACUAACAUAUAAGAGAAAGUAAGUUACAAUAAAAACAAUUUAAGGAUAAUAAAUAAAAAUAUUUACAGAAAAAGAAUYUAUAUGUAUAUACUAAUCAAAAUYUAGUAUAGAAAUAAAAAAUAAUGAUGC